rnacentral:rRNA from 1 species
GGAAAGUUUCGCGAAACAGGGUGAUAGCCCCGUACACGAAACGGUUAGUUGGACAUAUUAAGUAGGGCGGGGCACGUGAAACCUUGUCUGAAGAUCGGGGGACCAUCCUCGAAGGCUAAAUACUCGUUAUCGACCGAUAGUGAACCAGUACCGUGAGGGAAAGGCGAAAAGAACCCCGGAGAGGGGAGUGAAAUAGAACCUGAAACCGGAUGCGUACAAGCAGUGGGAGCUCUUCGGAGUGACUGCGUACCUUUUGUAUAAUGGGUCAGCGACUUAUAUUCUGUAGCAAGGUUAACCGAAUAGGGGAGCCGUAGGGAAACCGAGUCUUAAUAGGGCGUCUAGUUGCAGGGUAUAGACCCGAAACCGAGUGAUCUAUCCAUGAGCAGGUUGAAAGUGACGUAACAGUUACCGGAGGACCGAACCCACUGUCUUUGAAAAGCCAGGGGAUGACUUGUGGAUAGGGGUGAAAGGCUAAUCAAACUCGGUGAUAGCUGGUUCUCCCCGAAAGCUAUUUAGGUAGCGCCUCGGACGAACACCAUUGGGGGUAGAGCACUGUUUCGGCUAGGGGGUCAUCUCGACUUACCAAACCGAUGCAAACUCCGAAUACCAACAAGUGCAAUCACGGGAGACACACGGCGGGUGCUAACGUCCGUCGUGGAAAGGGAAACAACCCAGACCGCCAGCUAAGGUCCCAAAAUCAUGUCUAAGUGGUAAACGAUGUGGAAAGGCACAAACAGCCAGGAGGUUGGCUUAGAAGCAGCCACCCUUUAAAGAAAGCGUAAUAGCUCACUAGUCGAGUCGGCCUGCGCGGAAGAUGUAACGGGGCUCAAACUAGGAGCCGAAGCUGCGGAAGA